rnacentral:rRNA from 1 species
GUGGGGAAUAUUGGACAAUGGGCGCAAGCCUGAUCCAGCCAUACCGCGUGGGUGAAGAAGGCCUUCGGGUUGUAAAGCCCUUUUGUUGGGAAAGAAAUCCUGUCGGUUAAUACCUGGCGGGGAUGACGGUACCCAAAGAAUAAGCACCGGCUAACUUCGUGCCAGCAGCCGCGGUAAUACGAAGGGUGCAAGCGUUACUCGGAAUUACUGGGCGUAAAGCGUGCGUAUGUGGUGGUUUAAGUCCGUUGUGAAAGCCCUGGGCUCAACCUGGGAAUUGCAGUGGAUACUGGAUCACUAGAGUGUGGUAGAGGGAUGCGGAAUUUCUGGUGUAGCAGUGAAAUGCGUAGAGAUCAGAAGGAACAUCCGUGGCGAAGGCGGCAUCCUGGGCCAACACUGACACUGAGGCACGAAAGCGUGGGGAGCAAACAGGAUUAGAUACCCUGGUAGUCC